AUUCCACACCCCUCCACAGUUUCUUUUGUAUCGCGUAGAGAGAGAGAGAGAGAGAGAGAGAGAGAGAGAGGAAGAAGAAGUAGAAGAAGAAGAAGAAGAAGAGGAGGAAUUGGGGAAAAUCUAAUUGAAGGAUCGGGGGACGAGUCUCCACCUCAAAGUUGAGAAGGGAGCCUUUCACUUUUGUCUUUUGGAUCUCUAAGGUAACUGAAGUAGAGUUUUGGUCCACUACUGGUCUGACAGGCUGUAGGAGCGAGGACGAGGGUCGACUUGGUGUCCUCUUGGCAUAGUUCAUAUUUUGACGUAAUUUUUUUUUUUGGAGAGUUGUAUUAACAUUUGUGAAUGCAACUCAUCUUGUAAAGUUCUCUUGUAAAUUUUAUUUUGGAAGCCGGUUGUAAUAUACUUAGUUGACUUUGUCUUGCGUUUAUGGAAUGAAUUUUAUUAAGGUUGAUAUUAAGCUUUCA